AAGCUCUUCAGCGCCGAUGGUAGUUGGGGGCUUCCCCCUGUGAGAGUAGGACGCCGCCAAGC
rnacentral:rRNA from 1 species